rnacentral:lncRNA from 1 species
UCAUGCCUGUAAUCCCACCACUUUGGGAGGCCAAGGCUGGUGGAUCACAAUGCCAGGAGUUCAAGACCAGCCUGACCAACAUAGUGAAACCCUGUCUCUACUAAAAAUACAAAAAUUAACCAGGCAUGGUGGCGGGCGCCUGUAAUUCCAGCUACUUGGGAGGCUGAGACAGGAGAAUCACUUGAACCUGGGAGGCGGAGGUUGCAGUGAGCUGUGACCGUGUCAUUGCACUCCAGCCUGGGCGAGAGCAAGACUCCAUCUCAAAAACAAACGAACAAACAAAACUUUGUUUAUACAUUCAUCUGCCAAAGGACAUUUGGGUUAUUUCCACUUUUUGACAGAAAUUACUAUUUUUAAAACCAUUAAAUCCAGUGGAGGAAUGUGGUUCUAACAGUGGUAAACAACUCUUAAAGGAGGAAGAUUAUUUGUAAUUAUUUGUCAUAUUAAAGUUUUUCAAAUGAAGUAUUUAAAUGGGGUUGUCUUUACAGG